rnacentral:rRNA from 1 species
UAAACGGAGAGUUUGAUUCUGGCUCAGAACGAACGCUGGCGGCGUGGAUAAGACAUGCAAGUCGGACGGGGCCGGCCUGGGCGCAAGCCCGGGGCGGCUCGAGUGGCGAACGGGUGCGUAACACGUGACUUUCAACCU